UGGGGAAUAUUGCACAAUGGGCGCAAGCCUGAUGCAGCCAUGCCGCGUGUAUGAAGAAGGCCUUCGGGUUGUAAGUACUUUCAGUCGGGAGGAAGGUGGUAAGGUUAAUAACCUUAUCAAUUGACGUUACCGACAGAAGAAGCACCGGCUAACUCCGUGCCAGCAGCCGCGGUAAUACGGAGGGUGCAAGCGUUAAUCGGAAUUACUGGGCGUAAAGCGCACGCAGGCGGUUGAUUGAGUCAGAUGUGAAAUCCCCGGGCUUAACCCGGGAAUUGCAUCUGAUACUGGUCAGCUAGAGUCUUGUAGAGGGGGGUAGAAUUCCAUGUGUAGCGAUGAAAUGCGUAGAGAUGUGGAGGUAUACCGGUGGCGAAGGCGGCCCCCUGGACAAAGACUGACGCUCAGGUGCGAAAGCGUGGGGAGCAAACAGG
rnacentral:rRNA from 1 species